rnacentral:rRNA from 1 species
GACGAACGCUGGCAGCGUGCUUAACACAUGCAAGUCGAACGGAAAGGCCCUGCUUUUGUGGGGUGCUCGAGUGGCGAACGGGUGAGUAACACGUGAGUAACCUGCCCUUGACUUUGGGAUAACUUCAGGAAACUGGGGCUAAUACCGGAUAGGAUCUCCUGCUGCAUGGUGUGGGUUGGAAAGUUUCGGCGGUUGGGGAUGGACUCGCGGCUUAUCAGCUUGUUGGUGGGGUAGUGGCUUACCAAGGCUUUGACGGGUAGCCGGCCUGAGAGGGUGACCGGCCACAUUGGGACUGAGAUACGGCCCAGACUCCUACGGGAGGCAGCAGUGGGGAAUAUUGCACAAUGGGCGGAAGCCUGAUGCAGCAACGCCGCGUGCGGGAUGACGGCCUUCGGGUUGUAAACCGCUUUCGCCUGUGACGAAGCGUGAGUGACGGUAAUGGGUAAAGAAGCACCGGCUAACUACGUG